rnacentral:rRNA from 1 species
CCUACGGGGGGCAGCAGCAAGGAAUAUUGCGCAAUGGGGGAAACCCUGACGCAGCAACGCCGCGUGGAGGAUGAAGGCCUUCGGGUCGUAAACUCCUUUUCUAAGUGAAGAGGAAGGACGGUAACUUAGGAAUAAGGCCCGGCUAACUACGUGCCAGCAGCCGCGGUAAAACGUAGGGGCCAAGCGUUAUCCGGAUUUACUGGGCGUAAAGCGCGUGCAGGCGGUGUGAAAAGUUGGAUGUGAAAGCUCCCGGCUCAACUGGGAGAGGCCAUUCAAAACUAUUACACUAGAGGUUGGUAGAGGUAAGUGGAAUUCCCUGUGUAGCGGUGAAAUGCGUAGAUAUAGGGAGGAACACCAGUGGCGAAGGCGGCUUACUGGGCCAUACCUGACGCUCAGACGCGAAAGCCAGGGGAGAGAACGGGAUUAGAAACCCCGGUAUUCCUGGCCGUAAACGAUGUCAACUAGGUGUAGGAUGUCAUACGACGUUCUGUGCUGCAGCUAACGCGAUAAGUUGACCGCCUGGGGAGUACGGCCGCAAGGCUAAAACUCAAAGGAAUUGGCGGGGACCCGCACAAGCAGCGGAGCGUGUGGUUUAAUUCGAGGCAACGCGAAGAACCUUACCAGGGCUUGACAUAUACGUAGUAGUGAACCGAAAGGGGAACGACGCUUCGGCGAGCGUAUACAGGUGCUGCAUGGCUGUCGUCAGCUCGUGCCGUGAGGUGUUUGGUUAAGUCCAAUAACGAGCGCAACCCACGUCGUUAGUUAUACGUGUCUAGCGAGACUGCCGGUGAUAAGCCGGAGGAAGGUGUGGAUGACGUCAAGUCAGCAUGGCCUUUAUGUCCUGGGCUACACACACGCUACAAUGGCCAGUACAAUGAGUAGCGAAGCCGCGAGGUGCAGCCAAUCUCGCAAAGCUGGUCUCAGUUCGGAUUGCAGGCUGCAACUCGCCUGCAUGAAGUCGGAGUUGCUAGUAACCGCACGUCAGCACAGUGCGGUGAAUACGUUCCCGGGUCUUGCACACACCGCCCGUC